AUUAAAAAAGCUAAAAAGUAUAAAAAUUUUAUAAAAACUAAUAUAUACUGGCAGCAUUUCACCUUAUUAGAGGAACAUGUCCCUUAAUCGAAAAUACACGCUAAUUUUCACUUUCUUCAAAAUUUUAUAUACCUCCGUAUAGAAUUUUUUUUUAAACUUUUUCAAAAAAAAAAUCUAAUAAAAUAGGUAAAGGUGUAAACUAUAUCUAAGAUGCUAUGUGUUACGCUAAAUGAAAUUUAAAAUUUUUCCUUCAAAAAACACCAUGCAGGAUCUAAAAGUAAUAUUUUAAUAAAAAUUAUAUUUGAAUAAGUUAAUAAAUGUGC
rnacentral:rRNA from 1 species